rnacentral:rRNA from 1 species
CUCAGUUCGGAUUGGAGUCUGCAACCCGACUCCAUGAAGCUGGAUUCGCUGUAAUCGCGCAUCAGCCACGGCGCGGUGAAUACGUUCCCGGGCCCUUGUACACACCGCCCGUCAAGCCAUGGAAGCCGGGAGUGCCUGAAGUGCGUGAGCGCAAGCAGCGCCCUAAGGUAAAACCGGUGACUGGGGCUAAGUCGUAACAAGGUAUC